AGAGCGAACGCUGGCGGCAGGCCUAACACAUGCAAGUCGAGCGCCCAGCAAUGGGAGCGGCAGACGGGAUAGUAACACGUGGGAACGUACCUUUCAGUUCGGAACAACCCAGGGAAACUUGGGCUAAUACCGAAUACGCCCGUAAGGGGAAAGAUUUAUCGCUGAAAGAUCGGCCCGCGUCUGAUUAGCCAGUUGGUGGGGUAAUGGCCCACCAAGGCGACGAUCAGUAGCUGGUCUGAGAGGAUGAUCAGCAUCACUGGGACUGAGACACGGCCCAGACUCCUACGGGAGGCAGCAGUGGGGAAUAUUGGACAAUGGGCGCAAGCCUGAUCCAGCCAUGCCGCGUGGAUGAUGAAGGCCCUAGGGUUGUAAAGUCCUUUCGGCGGGGAAGAUAAUGACGGUACCCGCAGAAGAAGCCCCGGCUAACUUCGUGCCAGCAGCCGC
rnacentral:rRNA from 1 species